UACGGAGGAUGCAAGCGUUAUCCGGAAUUAUUGGGCGUAAAGCGUCCGCAGGUGGCACUUCAAGUCUGUCGUCAAAGACCGGGGCUUAACCAUGGAAAGGCGAUGGAAACUGAAAGGCUAGAGAGAGGUAGGGGUAGAGGGAAUUCCCAGUGUAGCGGUGAAAUGCGUAGAGAUUGGGAAGAACAUCGGUGGCGAAAGCGCUCUACUGGACCUCAUCUGACACUCAGGGACGAAAGCUAGGGGAGCGAAUGGG
rnacentral:rRNA from 1 species